rnacentral:rRNA from 1 species
GACGAACGCUGGCGGCGUGCUUAACACAUGCAAGUCGAACGGAAAGGCGCUGCGUUUGUGGGUUUCUCGAUUGGCGAACGGGUGAGUAACACGUGAGUAACCUGCCCUUGACUUUGGGAUAACUUCAGGAAACUGGGGCUAAUAUCGGAUAUGAGCUCCUGCUGCAUGGGGUGGGUUGGAAAGUUUCGGCGGUUGGGGAUGGACUCGCGGCUUAUCAGCUGGUUGGUGGGGUAGGGGCUUACCAAGGGUUUGACGGGUAGCCGGCCUGGGAGGGUGACCGGGCACAUUGGGACUGAGAUACGGCCCAGACGCCUACGGGAGGCAGCAGGGGGGAAUAUUGCACAAUGGGCGGAAGCCUGAUGCAGAAACGCCGCGUGCGGGAUGACGGCCUUCGGGUUGUAAACCGCUUUCGCCUGUGACGAAGCGUGCGUGACGGUAAUGGGUAAAGAAGCACCGGCUAACUACGUG